UACGGGCAAAUCAAGAUUACACCUGGUCUAAACGGCUCAGCAGAACCACCUAAACGGAAACGCUAGGAUGGAGGUCCAUACACGUUCAGGUGACUCCUAUGUUCGAGGGAGAUGGACACUGGAGAUUCUGAGUCUGAUUUGGGUCAUUUCCACCACAGCGAUAAUAUUCCAUACUCCUCCUGCAUCGUGUCGCAGCAUCACCGAUGCCCCUAACCGAACGCAGCCGGCUGUCGACGGAAGAGGAUUCAAGAACGUCACCGUUAUGGUGGAUUUGCAUGAGUGGGGAGUUCUGACUGGUUGUCGUCACGGUGGACAUGCGUACUGCAAGCGCUCCACGCAUUCAUCGGAGAAGAACACCCACUUCCACCUGUGCAAACAGCCACAGUUGUGCUGUCCAUUUCGUCGGCACGGCGUUCGCACAAUACCGGCUGGAUACAUGCGAGUAGGGGAGUCGACAAAAACCAACAACACGCACAGUAUAGAGGACACGGGAUAUUUUCAGGGUUUUAAUCGGACUGUGUUUGAGAGUUGCAAGUGCGUGCCGCUUCAAACGCUCAAAAUGUUUCUUUUGAAAGUUGGCACGAAGCAACAGCCGGAGAGCGGCCACAGUGGUGUCAAUGUUGACGCAAAGGAACUCCAGAGUAUACCUGCUGGCGGCUCUGUAUGGGAGAUAGCUUGGCGCAAGGUGCAAGUCGGAUUCCACUGCCAUGUACGCAAUCCGGAAUGCCUUGAGUACGAGUGCUGAAGAACCUACAGACUACUUGGACACUACCAAUUGGGAGCAGGCGCAUGAUUCUGUUAGUCUGUGAGAAAGCAUCCACGUGCAUGUACAUGUAACACAGUGGGAAAGCGCAACACCGUCACUAUGAAGAAAUAGCUCAGCUGUUUUGAGGAAAUAAUUUGAUCCGCUUGAACAAACAAUAUCUAUUACAUGUAUGUGCCUGUGUAAUGGAGUUUGCCAGUUUUGCUACUAAUAUGGAUAUUAACUGGUGUAAUAUGGCUAUUGUAGACACUUGUAUUCGUCACUUGAUUACAUGCAUCACUCUACCUGUGCAUCUACAUAUGCAUGUACAUGUAUAUGUAAACCCAUCGAGUAAUUGAUUUCUAGGAUUUCUUCGAUUUUAUUAAUUAAUUUUAUACAAAGAUCGUCGACUUCAAACAAUACAGUGUAACUGUGCGGUAACCAUGCUUUAUUACCAUGAUUACAAUAGUAACGAACAUGAGAGAGAAAUGUGAAUGUGAAAUGUACAAAUAGGAAGAAAAAAUAUUCAGAACCAUUUUCGCGUUACGAUCUUCAGUUAUGGACACGGCCUCUUCUUUUAUAUGUACAUUACCCAUUAACAUUUCUCUCCCAUAUUCGUUACUAUUGUAAUAAAGCAUGGUUAACGCAUAGUUAGUACUCUUGAUUGCCAUAUUCUCAACAUUAAAA